UUAGAUGGAAAACAUACAUAAUUUUGGGUUUCACUUCAAUGAAACAUUUAUUGGGUCCAGGAAUCACUGCUGAUAUCCUUGUUCUUAUUCUGUUUAGAUCUUAUUUUAUCCGUUUAUUUGCAGAUACUUGCUCUUCUAUUCUUGAGGCAUGUUUUGUACCUAGCCAGUGGAGACACAGACGAUGAAUUAUCUCGAUAUAUCUCUAUUUCCCUCCUUCGUGCUACUGGCCUUCUCCCUUGUUACAUUGUGUCCUGGACUAUCAGCAUAUUGCAGCGCCGUAGGGAGCAACAGAUAUAGUGGAGGUAAUUUUUCAACUUCCCUCCCAUAGUUGUAAAAAGCGAGCCUGAGGCGCAAAAGCGCUGAGGCUCACUGAACGGGGCUUUUUCAACACUGAAGCGAGGCACGUAGCUUAGGCGCACCUAGGCGCAGUGAGGCUCUGAGGCGCGAGGCUCAGUCGAGGCGCAAUUGAGGCACGAUGUGGGAUAUCAGCCUGUUAAUCGAACAAAGUUGA